GGUGGCUCAGUGGUAGAGUGCUUGCCUUCCAUACAUGAGGCCCUGGGUUCAAUUCCUCAGCACCA
rnacentral:tRNA from 1 species